UUUAUGGAUAUUAUAUACACUUACCUUUAUUUUUUUCUCUCUGCUUCAACUGUCAGAUUGCAGUAAGUGAAAAUGUCAAAAAUGUGCUUUAGUUAUCUUUUAUUUGGAACCAACUAACAAUUAUUACACUUGCUGCAAAAUAGAAAAUAAUUGUAAGCCAUAAUGUGAAUUAUUGGAUUUUAAAAAUAUAUCUUUUUCUAUUUUUUGCUAAAUUGAUUAAUUUUGAACUUUUUAAAACACAAUAGUUUGUAAGUCUUAAUUACUAUGCAUAUUUAUUGUUUAAUCUCUUUUUCUCAAUACCAACGGAACUGGUGUUUUUGUCACACUACAGAGAGUAAGUCAUGUAUUAUUGUUUUAAUAGAGUAUAAUGGUUCUUAUACCUUUAAUUUGUGUUUCUUUAUGAUCCAAUUAAUGAUAUUUAAACUAUGACACA